AACGAACGCUGGCGGCAGGCCUAACACAUGCAAGUCGAACGCUCCGCAAGGGGAGUGGCAGACGGGUGAGUAACACGUGGGAAUCUUCCUAUCGGUACGGAAUAGCUCAGGGAAACUUGGGGUAAUACCGCAUACGCCCGAAAGGGGAAAGAUUUAUCGCCGAUAGAUGAGCCCGCGUCUGAUUAGCUAGUUGGUGAGGUAAUGGCUCACCAAGGCGACGAUCAGUAGCUGGCUGAGAGGAUGACCAGCCACACUGGGACUGAGACACGGCCCAGACUCCUACGGGAGGCAGCAGUGGGGAAUAUUGGACAAUGGGCGCAAGCCUGAUCCAGCCAUGCCGCGUGAGUGACGAAGGUCUUCGGAUUGUAAAGCUCUUUUGCCAGGGGACGAUAAUGACGGUACCUGGAGAAUAAGCCCCGGCUAACUUCGUGCCAGCCGCCGCGGU
rnacentral:rRNA from 1 species